rnacentral:rRNA from 1 species
GAUGAACGCUAGCUACAGGCUUAACACAUGCAAGUCGAGGGGCAGCAUGAACUUAGCUUGCUAAGUUUGAUGGCGACCGGCGCACGGGUGAGUAACACGUAUCCAACCUUCCGUUUACUCAGGGAUAGCCUUUCGAAAGAAAGAUUAAUACCUGAUAGUAUGGUGAGAUUGCAUGAUAGCACCAUUAAAGAUUUAUUGGUAAACGAUGGGGAUGCGUUCCAUUAGGUAGUAGGCGGGGUAACGGCCCACCUAGCCGACGAUGGAUAGGGGUUCUGAGAGGAAGGUCCCCCACAUUGGAACUGAGACACGGUCCAAACUCCUACGGGAGGCAGCAGUGAGGAAUAUUGGUCAAUGGGCGAGAGCCUGAACUAGCCAAGUAGCGUGAAGGAUGAAGGUCCUACGGAUUGUAAACUUCUUUUAUACGGGAAUAAAGUAUCCUACGUGUAGGAUUUUGUAUGUACCGUAUGAAUAAGCAUCGGCUAAACUCCGUG